rnacentral:rRNA from 1 species
UACGAAGGGGGCUAGCGUUGUUCGGAAUCACUGGGCGUAAAGCGCACGUAGGCGGACUCUUAAGUCGGGGGUGAAAUCCUGGAGCUCAACUCCAGAACUGCCCUCGAUACUGAGAGUCUUGAGUCCGGGAGAGGUGAGUGGAACUGCGAGUGUAGAGGUGAAAUUCGUAGAUAUUCGCAAGAACACCAGUGGCGAAGGCGGCUCACUGGCCCGGUACUGACGCUGAGGUGCGAAAGCGUGGGGAGCAAACAGG